rnacentral:rRNA from 1 species
AUUGAACGCUGGCGGCAUGCCUUACACAUGCAAGUCGAACGGCAGCACGGGGGCAACCCUGGUGGCGAGUGGCGAACGGGUGAGUAAUGCAUCGGAACGUGCCCAGUAGUGGGGGAUAACUAGUCGAAAGAUUAGCUAAUACCGCAUACGACCUAUGGGUGAAAGCGGGGGAUUCGCAAGAACCUCGCGCUAUCGGAGCGGCCGAUGUCUGAUUAGCUAGUGGCGGGGUAAAGGCCCACCAAGGCUUCGAUCAGUAGCUGGUCUGAGAGGACGACCAGCCACACUGGGACUGAGACACGGCCCAGACUCCUACGGGAGGCAGCAGUGGGGAAUUUUGGACAAUGGGCGCAAGCCUGAUCCAGCCAUGCCGCGUGCGGGAAGAAGGCC